rnacentral:rRNA from 1 species
GGGGAAUUGUUCGCAAUGGGCGCAAGCCUGACGACGCAACGCCGCGUGGAGGAUGAAGAUCUUCGGGUCGUAAACUCCUUUCGAUCGAGACGAACGGCCCUCGGGAUAACACCCUGGGGGAGUGACGGUACCGAGAGAAGAAGCCCCGGCUAACUCCGUUCCAGCAGCCGCGGUAAUACGGGGGGGGCAAGCGUUGUUCGGAAUUACUGGGCGUAAAGGGCUCGCAGGCGGCCAACUAAGUCAUACGUGAAAUCCCUCGGCUUAACCGGGGAACUGCGUCUGAUACUGGAUGGCUUGAGUUCGGGAGAGGGAUGCGGAAUUCCAGGUGUAGCGGUGAAAUGCGUAGAUAUCUGGAGGAAUACCGGUGGCGAAGGCGGCAUCCUGGACCGACAUUGACGCUGAGGAGCGAAAGCUAGGGGAGCAAAC